rnacentral:rRNA from 1 species
AUAUUGGACAAUGGGGGCAACCCUGAUCCAGCCAUGCCGCGUGUGUGAAGAAGGUCUUCGGAUUGNUAAGAACUUUAAGUUGGGAGNAAGGGCUUUAGGUUAAUACCCUGAAGUUUUGACGUUACCAACAGAAUAAGCACCGGCUAACUCUGUGCCAGCAGCCGCGGUAAUACAGCGGGUGCAAGCGUUAAUCGGAAUUACUGGGCGUAAAGCGCGGUGAGGUGGUUCAGUAAGAUGGGUGUGAAAUCCCCGGGCUUAACCUGGGAACUGCUUUCAUAACUGCUGGGCUAGAGUACGGUAGAGGGUAGUGGAAUUUCCUGUGUAGCGGUGAAAUGCGUAGAUAUAGGAAGGAACACCAGUGGCGAAGGCGGCUACCUGGACUGAUACUGACACUGAGGUGCGAAAGCGUGGGGAGCAAAC